GCUUUCCCGGGCCGGGGCAGAGAGCCCCGGGCCCCUCAGCUGCGAGCGGGACCCCGCAGCAUCCAUCGAUCUCUGAAUUUCGUUUAGGAAAACUUCUGCUCCUUCGCCAGGCUUCCUCGCGGUCCUGCAGCUGGAGAGGGGCUGGGGUCCUUCCCCAGGAACUUCGGGGCUUGUGGAAACCCAGCUUUGUCGGCAGUGUGUGAGGGAAGACGAGCAGGACGGAGGAUGCAGCAGCGGUCUUGUCUCUAGAAAGGAGGAGAAGACGAAGAAAAAGAAGAGCCAUGCCCGGAAUGGUUUGCCUCAUCCCAAACCAACGAAUACCCUUGUCAUGCGUUUUGCAAAAGUUGCCUGUGCCGUGCACUCGAACCGCGCAAUAAAGGACUGCACUGUGCAAAUGAAUGUAUUUCUUUGGUGCUGAGCCGGGCGGGGAGGCAGCCUCAGCCUCGGCGGAGCCUCUGCCGGCAUCCAUGCCAAGGGAGCGGGGGGGCACGCUCCCGUCCUCCCCCGCCGCGGCUUUUGGCGAUGCUGUAGCGUAGGAAAGGGAUGGAGGACUCGCCGCGCUUGCC